rnacentral:rRNA from 1 species
AUUGAACGCUGGCGGCAGGCCUAACACAUGCAAGUCGAACGAGUGGCGGACGGGUGAGUAAUGUCUGGGAAACUGCCCGAUGGAGGGGGAUAACUACUGGAAACGGUAGCUAAUACCGCAUACCAUCGGAUGUGCCCAGAGGGGAUUAGCUAGUAGGUGGGGUAACGGCUCACCUAGGCGACGAUCCCUAGCUGGUCUGAGAGGAUGCCCGGCCAAACGGGAACUGAGACACGGUCCAGAUUCUUACGGGGGGCAGCAGUGGGUAAUAUUGCACAAUGGGCGCAAGCCUGAGGCAGCCAUGCCGGGUGUAGGAAGAAGGCCUUCGGGUUGUAAAGUACUUUCAGCGAGGAGGCGUUACUCGCAGAAGAAGCACCGGCUAACUCCGUGCCAGCAGCCGCGGUAUAC